UACAGAGGUCUCAAGCGUUGUCCGGAUUUAUUGGGCGUAAAGAGCGUGUAGGCGGCUAGGUAGGUCCGUUGUGAAAACUCGAGGCUCAACCUCGAGACGUCGAUGGAAACCAUCUAGCUAGAGUCCGGAAGAGGAGAGUGGAAUUCCUGGUGUAGCGGUGAAAUGCGUAGAUAUCGAGAGGAACACCUGCGGCGAAGGCGGGUUGCUGGGCCGACACUGACGCUGAUGCGCGAAAGCCAGGGGAGCGAACGGG
rnacentral:rRNA from 1 species